rnacentral:rRNA from 1 species
UACAGAGGGUGCGAGCGUUACUCGGAAUCACUGGGCGUAAAGGGCGUGUAGGCGGUCAGGUAAGUGGGAUGUGAAAUCCCUCGGCUCACCCGAGGACCGGCAUCUCAUACUGCUUGGCUUGAGUACGGGAGAGGAUGUGGGAAUUCCUGGUGUAGCGGUGAAAUGCGUAGAUAUCAGGAGGAACACCGGUGGCGAAGGCGCACAUCUGGCCCGAUACUGACGCUGAGGCGCGAAAGCUAGGGGAGCAAACGGG